AGAUAAUCUAAUCAAAGCUAUCUUGUCAGUAACAAAGAAUUACCACAUUACUCCAACCCUUGACAGAUUUUCUCUUCUUCAUCAGAUGUUCCUCAUUUUCUAAAGCAAAUGUUCGUGACUUAUCUUGCAUUGUCAAAGACACUGAAAAAUCAACAUUCUGAUUUGUGAACAAUCCACUGCAUAAAACACUGGGAUUAAUUUACUGCAGCUAGGGCAUAUUUGCAAUGAAAUUGAGGAAUAGAAGAGAUUCAGGAAGUGUGUAUGCAGGUACAGUCAAUAUUUGAGAGAUUGUUCAAAUUGCUCAAUCCAGCCGUCUGAUCUUCAGUAAAGUUACAGAAG